rnacentral:rRNA from 1 species
AGUGAACGCUGGCGGUAGGCCUAACACAUGCAAGUCGAACGGCAGCACAGUAAGAGCUUGCUCUUACGGGUGGCGAGUGGCGGACGGGUGAGGAAUACAUCGGAAUCUACUUUUUCGUGGGGGAUAACGUAGGGAAACUUACGCUAAUACCGCAUACGACCUACGGGUGAAAGCAGGGGAUCUUCGGACCUUGCGCGAUUGAAUGAGCCGAUGUCGGAUUAGCUAGUUGGCGGGGUAAAGGCCCACCAAGGCGACGAUCCGUAGCUGGUCUGAGAGGAUGAUCGGCCACACUGGAACGGGGAACCGGUCCAGGCUCCUACGGGAGGCAGCAGUGGGGAAUUUUGAAAAAUGGGCGCAAGCCUGACCCAGCCAUACCGGGGGGGUGAAGAAGGCCUUCGGGUUGUAAAGCCCUUUUGUUGGGAAAGAAAAGCAGCAGGUUAAUACCCCGCUGUUCUGGCGGUACCCAAAGAAUAAGCACCGGCUAACUUCGU